AGAGUUUGAUCGUGGCUCAGGACGAACGCUGGCGGCGUGCUUAACACAUGCAAGUCGAACGAUGAUGCGGCGCUUGCGCCGUUGAUUAGUGGCGAACGGGUGAGUAACACGUGAGUAACCUGCCCCCUUCUUCGGGAUAACGGUCUGAAAGGGCUGCUAAUACCGGGUAUUCACUGGUCUCCGCAUGGGGGCUGGUGGAAAGGGUUUUUUCUGGUGGGGGAUGGGCUCGCGGCCUAUCAGCUUGUUGGUGGGGUGAUGGCCCACCAAGGCUUUGACGGGUAGCCGGCCUGAGAGGGUGACCGGUCACAUUGGGACUGAGAUACGGCCCAGACUCCUACGGGAGGCAGCAGUGGGGAAUAUUGCACAGUGGGCGCAAGCCUGAUGCAGCGACGCCGCGUGAGGGAUGGAGGCCUUCGGGUUGUGAACCUCUUUCGCCCGUGGUCAAGCCGCGACGUGGGUCGUGGUGAGGGUAGUGGUAAG
rnacentral:rRNA from 1 species